rnacentral:rRNA from 1 species
GAUGAACGCUGGCGGCGUGCCUAAUACAUGCAAGUCGAACGCAUUGUGGUUGAAAUGAUAUGAAGAACUUGUUCAGAUUUGAUUUUCAACAUUGCAAUGAGUGGCGAACGGGUGAGUAACACGUGGGAAACCUACCUCUUAGCAGGGGAUAACAUUUGGAAACAAAUGCUAAUACCGUAUAAUAAUUAAAACCGCAUGGUUUUAGUUUAAAAGAUGGUCUUGCUAUCACUAAGAGAUGGUCCCGCGGUGUAUUAGUUAGUUGGUGAGGUAAUGGCUCACCAAGACAAUGAUACAUAGCCGAGUUGAGAGACUGACCGGCCACAAUGGGACUGAGACACGGCCCAUACUCCUACGGGAGGCAGCAGUAGGGAAUCUUCCACAAUGGACGAAAGUCUGAUGGAGCAACGCCGCGUGUGUGAUGAAGGGUUUCGGCUCGUAAAACACCGUUGUAAGAGAAGAAUGACGUUGAGAGUAACUGUUCAAUGUGUGACGGUAUUUA